AGCUUUGCGCAGUGGCAGUAUCGUAGCCAAUGAGGUUUAUCCGAGGCGCGAUUAUUGCUAAUUAAAGAAAAGUCCUGGGGCUUUUGAUCAAAAGAACCUGUUACGGGGCGCCUGGGUGGCUCAGUGGGUUGGGCUGCUGCCUUCAGC